rnacentral:misc_RNA from 1 species
GUUGGCGAGAAGGGCUAGCGACUUCAGGGGAAAAAGAAUGGUAUUUCUACUGUCCAAGAGACCGUAAAUACAGGAAUAGUGCAAGGCCAAAUCGAGUCACAAGAGCUGGGUUUUGGAAGGCAACUGGAACAGACCGUCCUAUUUGCUCCUCUGAUGGGACCAAGUGCAUAGGCUUGAAGAAGUCCCUGGUCUUCUACAGAGGUAGAGCUGCCAAAGGGAUUAAGACUGAUUGGAUGAUGCAUGAGUUUCGACUACCUUCACCAGCAGAACCAUCACCUCCAAAGAAGCUCCUAGAAAAAAGCCUUCCUCCAAAUGAUGCGUGGGCUAUUUGUAGGAUAUUCAAGAAAACCAACUCUAUGGCACAAAAAGCUCUUAAUUACUCGUGGAUUUCCCAAUUACCAGAUGCUACGGCAUCUGAUAUGCUCAACCAAGGACCUCACUGCACUCAGUUCAGUUCAGAGAACAUUUCCUGCACCACAGAAAUUGGAUCACUUUUCCCAAUAUGCUCUAAUGACUUACAACAAGCCUCUUCUGGGAACUUUUCUGCUUUAGAUAUAUCCUCUUACAAACCUAUUACUAAUACAGUUGACAAGCCAUCUCUAUUUCCUGUUUCAAAUGGAGACCUUCCCAACAACUUCAUGUUUUCACCAAUUGAGAUGUCAGCUCCCACCAAGUGUACUGUUGAUGCUCCUUCUAUGCUAUUGAAUCAUGCGUUAAUUGGUGAUGUUAAUAAAGAUUCUGAAAGUGUAGACUAUGAAGGGUCACAGCACCAGUUCACUGGAUUCUCAAUCUGUUUACCCCAAGUUACACAAGUUAAUAUGGGUGCAGAAGAAGAUGAAGCAGGCUUGAGGAAUAAUCCCAGCGAAAUCCAUGAUAAUAGCCAGUGGGGGACCAUGCGAUCCAUUGGAUUCCCCUUCAGUUUGCCCUCAAAUCUACCAGAUGCAUGGAAGUCUAAUCUGUCAUGGGAUUCACCACCCUGUCCUAGUGAGAUGUCCUCCAAUUAUUCCACAAACAAAUGCUAUACUUAAAUCCAAUUAACUAGAGAGGAAAUGGGAUUUAGGUAUAGCAUUUUGCCUGUAUAUCCUGCUUUGGGUGAAUAUUUGGAGAUAGACUCUAAAUUAUAUCAUGUUUGCUAUGUUAUUGUACAGUUUUGAUAUAUUCCAUUCACACUCACUUUCUUAUUUAU